CUACGGGAUGCAGCAGUGGGGAAUAUUGGACAAUGGGGGAAACCCCGAUCCAGCAAUGCCGCGUGUGUGAAGAAGGCCUGCGGGUUGUAAAGCACUUUCGGUUGGGAGGACUGCUUCUAGCACUAAUAUUGUUGGAAGUUGACGUUACCUUCAGAAGAAGCACCGGCUAACUCCGUGCCAGCGGCCGCGGUAAUACGGAGGGUGCAAGCGUUAAUCGGAAUUACUGGGCGUAAAGCGCGCGUAGGCGGCUAGAUCAGUCGGGUGUGAAAGCCCCGGGCUUAACCUGGGAACUGCAUCCGAUACUGUCUAGCUGGAGUACAGGAGAGGAGAGUGGAAUUCCACAUGUAGCGGUGAAAUGCGUAGAUAUGUGGAGGAACACCAAUGGCGAAGGCAGCUCUCUGGCCUGAUACUGACGCUGAGGUGCGAAAGCGUGGGGAGCAAACAGGAUUAGAUACCCCCGUAGUC
rnacentral:rRNA from 1 species